UACAGAGGUCUCAAGCGUUGUUCGGAUUCAUUGGGCGUAAAGGGUGCGUAGGCGGCGGGGAAAGUCUGAUGUGAAAUCCUGGGGCUCAACCCUGGAACUGCAUUGGAUACUUCCUUGCUAGAGUACUGGAGAGGAAACUGGAAUUUACGGUGUAGCGGUGAAAUGCGUAGAGAUCGUAAGGAAGACCAGUGGCGAAGGCGAGUUUCUGGACAGUUACUGACGCUGAGGCACGAAGGCCAGGGGAGCAAACGGG
rnacentral:rRNA from 1 species